UAGCUCAGCGGCAUAAGCACCUGCCUUGCAAGCAGGUAGUCGUGAGUUCGAUCCCCGC
rnacentral:tRNA from 1 species